rnacentral:rRNA from 1 species
GAUUUAUCGCUGAAGGAUCGGCCCGCGUCUGAUUAGCUAGUUGGUGGGGUAAUGGCCCACCAAGGCGACGAUCAGUAGCUGGUCUGAGAGGAUGAUCAGCCACAUUGGGACUGAGACACGGCCCAAACUCCUACGGGAGGCAGCAGUGGGGAAUAUUGGACAAUGGGCGCAAGCCUGAUCCAGCCAUGCCGCGUGAGUGAUGAAGGCCUUAGGGUUGUAAAGCUCUUUCGUCCGGGACGAUGNUGACGGUACCGGAAGAAGAAGCCCCGGCUAACUUCGUGCCAGCAGCCGCGGUAAUACGAAGGGGGCUAGCGUUGUUCGGAAUCACUGGGCGUAAAGGGCGCGUAGGCNGCUUUAU